GGGGAGAUUCCAGAGCGGUCAAAUGGGGCAGACUGUAAAUCUGUUGGCAGUGCCUUCGGAGGUUCGAAUCCUCCUCUCCCCA
rnacentral:tRNA from 1 species